rnacentral:rRNA from 1 species
AUGUGGACCCGUCUUCGUCAGCGCUAUCAGCCCUCUGGUGAUGCCUUAUACCUUUCUGUGAUCCGUCAGGAGCAUGCUCUUCAGCAGGGUGACUCUAUUGUUGAUGACUUCUAUGCACAGAGUUCUGCUAUCUGGCGCCAGCUUGAUUCUCUCCGCAGUGCUGGUUGUCGUACCUGCCCUUGUUGCCAGGCUGUCCAGGCCAAUUUGGAGUUUCAUCGCGUCUAUGAGUUCCUGUCUCGGCUCCGUAAGGAGUUUGAGCCCCGGCGUGCUCAGUUGUUUGCUCGUGGCCGUAUUUCUCUCAUGGAGGCGCUUUCUGAGAUUCGUGCUGAGGAGACUCGCUUACAUGGUGCUGGUUUGCUGGAGGUUCCCUCUGUGCUCGCUACUCGUGCUCCUACGCCACCUGCUGCACCGACCCCUUCUCGCUCGAGUGCUCCGCCGCUCUUGCCCACUCCUUCUGGAGGCUCAGGUCGCCCCCGUCCACAUUGCGACUACUGCAACAAUGAUGGUCAUCUUGAGUCUCAGUGCUACACGAAGAAGAAACACCUGCGCAAGGCGCGAUCAUCAUCUUCUGGGACUUCGUCA